CAGGCCUGGUUAUGGCAUGAAGCGUUUCAUAUUGAAGUAGAUGGUUCUGAGGUAUGGUUUCUUUAUCCAGGCUGUAUCACAUCCGGCCGUACUUGGGAGUCCCAUAGGGCGGUGCACAAUUGGCCCAGCAUCGUCUGGGUUUGGCCGGGGGGUAGGCCGUCAUUGUAAAUAAGAAUUUGUUCUUAACUGACUUGCCAAGUUAAAAAAAAAGAUAAAAGAUGGAACUUAGUGUAGAGAAUGAGUGGUUCUGAGGUAAAUGAUCUGUAUUAGUGUAGAGAAUGAGUGGUUCUGAGGUAAAUGAUCUGUAUUAGUGUAGAGAAUGAGUGGUUCUGAGGUAAAUGAUCUGUAUUAGUGUAGAGAAUGAGUGGUUCUGAGGUAAAUGAUCUGUAUUAGUGUAGAGAAUGAGUGGUUCUGAGGUAAAUGAUCUGUAUUAGUGUAGAGAAUGAGUGGUUCUGAGGUAAAUGAUCUGUAUUAGAGUAGAGAAGGAGUGGUUCUGAGGUAAAUGAUCUGUAUUAGUGUAGAGAAUGAGUGGUUCUGAGGUAAAUUAUCUGUAUUAGUGUAGAGAAUGAGUGGUUCUGAGGUAAAUGAUCUGUAUUAGUGUAGAGAAUGAGUGGUUCUGAGGUAAAUGAUCUGUAUUAGUGUAGAGAAUGAGUGGUUCUGAGGUAAAUUAUCUGUAUUAGUGUAGAGAAUGAGUGGUUCUUAUCUAUUACUUAGUGUGGAGGGAGAAUAAAAGGAGAGACAGAGUGCAUCCCAAAUUGCACCCUAUUCCCUAUAUAGUGUACUACUACAGAACCAUAUGGGCCUUGGUCAAAAGUAAUGUUUAGGGAAUAGGGUGAAAUUUGAUACACAGCCAUAACCUUUUCCCCCGACUGUAAACACGGCCUCUUCUUCACCCGCAGUUUUUAUAAAUGGCUUGAAAAGCAGACUGAGGGGAGAGUGUGUCAUCAUCCCGCUCUGUUUAUACUGACGGGAGGGAGGAGAAAAAAGGUCAAGUAGCUAACAUUGUGCUGUGCUGUGGUCGCUGCAAUGUUUAGUUAUUUAAUAUGAACACAGAACAUUUCUACAGUCAAGAUGUUCCUCCUCAAGUACUAUCCCCUCCCGUGUAACUGGGGAGGCAGGGUAGUCUAGCGGUUAGAGUGUAGAGGUGGCAGGUAGUCUAGCGGUUAGAGUGUAGGGGCGGCAGGGUAGUCUAGUGGUUAGAGUGUAGGGGCGGCAGGGUAGUCUAGUGGUUAGAGUGUAGGGGCGGCAGGGUAGUCUAGUGGUUAGAGUGUAGGGGAGGCAGGGUAGUCUAGUGGUUAGUGUUGGACUAGUAACCGGAAGGUUGCAAGUUCAAACCCCCGAGCUGACAAGGUACAAAUCUGUCGUACUGCCCCUGAACAGGCAGUUAACCCACUGUUCCUAGGCCGUCAUUGAAAAUAAGAAUUUGUUCUUAACUGACUUGCCUAGUUAAAUAAAGGUAAAAUAAAAAAAUAAACUGGCCAUUAUUUCAAAUGAAUUGUAUUAAUUCAAAUGUAUGUUUUGGCGCGCUGUUCCAAAUCUCUAUUUUACAACAAUAUUUGUUGUUUUUAUCAGCAUUUAUGUCCGCUUGUUGUUCUCAUAUUGUCUUUUUGGUCUCUUCUGCUGUGACUGUGUGACAGAUACCAAGUCCCUCCCCGGACACCAAGCCCCCUCCCCCGGACACCAAGCCCCCUCCCCCGGACACCAAGCCCCCUCCCUCAUUGAGACAUUGUUUUACUGUAAUAGAGAACUUUUCUAACGAUACCCUGUAUCUCUGUCAGUAUCCGUGAGUUCCGCUAGUUCACUACAUUAUCUCUGUCGGUAUCCGUGAGGUCCGUUAGUUCACUACAUGAUCUCUGUCGGUAUCCGUGAGGUCCGCUAGUUCACUACAUUAUCUCUGUCGGUAUCCGUGAGGUCCGCUAGUUCACUACAUUAUCUCUGUCGGUAUCCGUGAGGUCCGUUAGUUCACUACAUGAUCUCUGUCGGUAUCCGUGAGGUCCGUUAGUUCACUACAUUAUCUCUGUCGGUAUCCGGGGGGUCCGUUCGUUCACUACAUUAACUCUGUCAGUAUCCGUGGGGUCCGUUCACUACAUUAUCUCUGUCAGUAUCCGUGGGGUCCGUUAGUUGUCUACAUUAUCUCUGUCGGUAUCCGUGAGGUCCGUUAGUUUACUACAUUAUCUCUGUCGGUAUCCGUGAGGUCAUCACUCUCUCCUGGUCCUGUUCCUGACAUGUUCCUUAAAACACGUGCAUGCACGCACACACACAGACGUGCAUAACAUUGACUCCAUUAAACCUGCUCUGUCUGCAUUUAAUGUUUAAAAGAGAGUUGGAGAGCAGGAUGAGAGAGAGGGGAGAG